rnacentral:rRNA from 1 species
UACGGAGGGGGCGAGCGUUAUUCGGAAUUAUUGGGCGUAAAGGGCGCGUAGGCGGCCCGUCAAGUCCCGUGUGAAAGCCCCCGGCUCAACCGGGGAACGGCGCGGGAAGCUAGCAGGCUUGAGUUCGGGAGAGGGAAGCGGAAUUCCGGGUGUAGCGGUGAAAUGCGCAGAUAUCCGGAGGAACACCGGUGGCGAAGGCGGCUUCCUGGACCGACACUGACGCUGAGGCGCGAAAGCUAGGGGAGCAAACGGG